UUCGCAGGGAGGAACAUACAGCAACAUUACUGAAACUCUUUCAACUUUGGACUACCUCCUGUUCAGAGCUUUGAGCCGAAGUAGAAUGCCACAAAACUCCUUGGGUCCAUUUCAUUGUCUGCAAGAAUUUCACCUUCAGAAAUGCUCCCCCCUGUUACUAUGUACAGAAGCUCUGCAUGGCCGAAUUGAGAAGGCAAGAUGGCAUCCUGGACACUCAAGAGGAAUAUUAAUGGGUUGGAGCAGAUGAUGUGAUAAUUAUUGUCAACUACUUUUGUUUGUCCCCCAAUGCUAAAAUUUCCCUUUCCCUGUUUAUGAUUGUAUUCUUUGGUGUUUCCUGUUAAAACAGAAGCUUUGUACUACACUGUUAUAGGCUACAGGGCAAGGUUUCUACAUAUAGAUGCAUAGAAGACAGAAGAUGUAAACUUUCUAUUCCCUUUCAAAAGAUUGACAAGGAAACCAAGAAAAGAAAUAAAUAGUAAUGACUGGAGCUCGUUGAUUAGCCAGCCACACCCACUAUACCCAGAAAAGUUUAAGGAAAAUGUGGCCAGGCCAGAAAGAUAAUUUACUGUACAAACUAUGGCCACUCAUAAAAUAAAAGCAAGAAAAAUUGCAA